AUACUCUGUUCUCGAUUUGUAUACACUUGAAUGAAUGGUUAUACCCGGUGAAAUUUCGCAUGACCCAAACGUUUGAUCACCAUUGAUUGUCAGCUGUUUACAAGUAGGGGAAACGUGCAGGUUUUAGACGAAGUGUGCAUUUGGUUAUAGGAAUUUCUUUUACCGCUUUUGGCCAUUUACCAUCUUAACUUGUUUUGUUAUAUAUAGCACUGGAUAACACAUGCAAGUUGGAUAAAAACUAUAUUGAAGAGGAUCCAACCAGCUAUUCUCAAGAAAAUGCUGUUUUAGUUUUUCUUUUGUCUAUUUUUGUAAAUUUAAAUAAAAAUUAUGUUGAUUUUA